rnacentral:rRNA from 1 species
UACGUAGGGCGCAAGCGUUGUCCGGAAUUAUUGGGCGUAAAGAGCUCGUAGGCGGUUUGUCGCGUCUGCUGUGAAAUCCUCAGGCUCAACUUGGGGCGUGCAGUGGGUACGGGCAGACUAGAGUGCGGUAGGGGAGACUGGAAUUCCUGGUGUAGCGGUGGAAUGCGCAGAUAUCAGGAGGAACACCGAUGGCGAAGGCAGGUCUCUGGGCCGUUACUGACGCUGGAGGAGCGAAAGCCUAGGGGAGCAAACGGG